GACACCAGGUUGUCAUCAGAAAUCUCACCAUCACUUCUUCACCUGCUCAUGUGGUACCCAGCUGUGCCUUGCUGGCCCUGCUUUUGCCUGGAGUGUGAGAUUUGCUGUUCAGAGUGAAGGGGAUGAUUUUCACCAACUGUAAUGUUUUAAGCUGACAUAAUAGUCUUGCUCUAAAGGAAAACCAGUUAAAAAGCAGACUGGGAGCAGCAAUACCAGCUUGUCACCAAAACUGCUCUCCUUAGGACAUUACUGACUGUGUGUCCAAGAGGAUCCCAUCAGCAGCCCAAGGGGGAAAUGCUGUUCAGAAAAUCACAGGAUGAUGCCUUGCAGCUCUCACUUGUUCUGAGGACACCCAUGAUCUCCAUCAGUUUUCUCAGGCCUUUUUAAUGGGAUGACAUAAAGUCAGAUUUUUCUGCAUGUUCUGCAUUCUCUGCUUUCUUAAUGGCAAGAACUGCUGUGGAAAGUUGG